GGGCUAACCAUGCAAGGUCGAGCGGAUGAAGGGAGCUUGCUCCUGGAUUCAGCGGCGGACGGGUGAGUAAUGCCUAGGAAUCUGCCUGGUAGUGGGGGAUAACGUUCCGAAAGGAACGCUAAUACCGCGUACGUCCUACGGGAGAAAGCAGGGGACCUUCGGGCCUUGCGCUAUCAGAUGAGCCUAGGUCGGAUUAGCUAGUUGGUGAGGUAAUGGCUCACCAAGGCGACGAUCCGUAACUGGUCUGAGAGGAUGAUCAGUCACACUGGAACUGAGACACGGUCCAGACUCCUACGGGAGGCAGCAGUGGGGAAUAUUGGACAAUGGGCGAAAGCCUGAUCCAGCCAUGCCGCGUGUGUGAAGAAGGUCUUCGGAUUGUAAAGCACUUUAAGUUGGGAGGAAGGGCUGUAGGCUAAUAUCCUGCGGUUUUGACGUUACCAACAGAAUAAGCACCGGCUAACUUCGUGCCAGCAGCCGCGGUAAUACGAAGGGUGCAAGCGUUAAUCGGAAUUACUGGGCGUAAAGCGCGCGUAGGUGGUUCGUUAAGUUGGAUGUGAAAGCCCCGGGCUCAACCUGGGAACUGCAUCCAAAACUGGCGAGCUAGAGUACGGUAGAGGGUAGUGGAAUUUCCUGUGUAGCGGUGAAAUGCGUAGAUAUAGGAAGGAACACCAGUGGCGAAGGCGACUACCUGGACUGAUACUGACACUGAGGUGCGAAAGCGUGGGGAGCAAACAGGAUUAGAUACCCUGGUAGUCCACGCCGUAAACGAUGUCAACUAGCCGUUGGAAUCCUUGAGAUUUUAGUGGCGCAGCUAACGCAUUAAGUUGACCGCCUGGGGAGUACGGCCGCAAGGUUAAAACUCAAAUGAAUUGACGGGGGCCCGCACAAGCGGUGGAGCAUGUGG
rnacentral:rRNA from 1 species